rnacentral:rRNA from 1 species
AGGUGAUAUAUUGAAAAUAGGUAUAUGAAAUUAAUAUUAUUUUAAGGAUAAUGAAUCAAAAUUUUAAAUAUGAUAUAAAGAUAAAAAAAUCAAUCAUAAUCAUGAAAAUGAGAAAAAGAAAAACUAGUGGAAUGAAACAUCUGAGUAACUAGUAAAAUAACCAACAGGGAUAAUAUAAGUAACGGUGAGUGAAAAUAUAAAAAUCUUAAAGUAUUACCAUGUGGUAAGAAUAUAGUAGUUUCCAACUUCUAAGGGUAUAAAUGAAAUUUUAGAUUAAAGUACUGUAAAGGAAAAUUAUGAAAUAGAAUAAUAAAGAGCAGUCAUAGUAUGACGUACCUUUUGUAUAAUGGGCCAGUGAGUUAUAUAAUUUAGUGAAAAAGAGAUUUUUAGAUAUAAUUAGAUUCUUAAUGUCCACCCUUAUUAUAAUAAGGGUGGGUAUUACCUAACAAGUAGGGUAAUUAAAUUAUAUAGGCCCGAAAGCAAACGAUCUACACAUGUUCAAGUAUAUAUUUAACUUAAAUUAAAUUAAGUUUAUAUAUGACUCAAUAGGUAAUUGUAGCAAUAAUUUCUAAAGAGAUGUGUGUAGUUGUGACAGACAAAUCUGGUUUGCAGAUAGCUGGUUUUCUGCGAAAUAUAUUUUAGUAUAGCCUUUAUUUUUUUUUAAACUGGUACAGCACUUAAAUAACUUUGGGGAAUGUUCACCUGCAAAGGUGUAUAUCACCCCCAGGGAUUGGGGAAUUAGAAUAUAAUUUUAUCAAAAUAUUUAAACCUCGGAAUCAGUUAAUAAUUAAGAUAAGGAGUCAGACUUAUUGCGAUAAGGUAGUAAGUCGAGAAGGAAACAACCUAGACUAUUAAAUGUAUGUCCCAAAUAUUAAUUAAGUGAAUAAAAUCUAUCCUAUUUAAACGUAUAUUAUACGGGGAAUUAAAUUAUAGACAAUUAGUAAGUGGGUUUGACAAUAAUCAACUUUUAAUGAACAUGUAACAAUGCACUAAUUUUAUAUAUAUAUAUAUUUAUUUAUAUAUAUUUAUUAAUAAUAGAGAAAAUAUACGGGUCUAAAUUAAUAACAGUAUUAUAGAUAUAAUAAAAAUUAUAUGGUAGCAGAAUAUAUAAUAAAAAAUUAUAAAGAGAUUGCUGGCUUGAGUAACGAUAGAUAAUAUAAGAUUAUCCCCUUAUUCAUAAGGUUUUACUAUAAACGAACGGUCCCUAAGAUUAAUAUAGAAAUAUAAAAUUAAUGGGAGAAAGAACAAGAAAAAAAGAAAGAACCGUACUGUAAACCGACACAGGUAUGAUAAUAAAGGGAAUGGGAUAACUACUUUGAAUGAACUCGGCAAAAGAAAUCGUGCGACUGUUUACCAAAAACAUAGCUUAUUGCAUACUAGUAAUAGUAAGUAUAAUAAGUGAUAUCUGCCCGGUGUUAGUUUAAUAAAUAUAAAUAUUUAAUAGAUAUUUUUAUAAAAGACUGAUAAACGGCGGUCUUAUUGUGAGGAUCCGAAGGUAGCGAAAUUCAUUGACGUAUAAUUGACGUCCUGCAUGAAUGAAUAAACGAUGCGAUAACUGUAUCCAAAGUAGACUCAGUGAAAUAGCAAUUGCGGUGAAUUUUGUACUAUAUCGACUUUUUAGAUAUUUUAUGCCGGGUUGGUGAAAAUCCAACUUUAUAGUAUUAGUUUUAAAAUAAGAAAAAAACAAUAAUAAGAAAUAUAAAUUUUAAUUGGUGAUUUAUAAGAUAGAGAAUAUAAUUUAUCUAUACAACCUAUAAAAAAGAGUAAUAAAAGUAUUAAAUCUAAUACAUAAAAAGCUAAAUAUAGGUUCUAUAUAUAAACAGAGAUAUGAAAGUUCUUUAAUCGUAAGGAAAAAAGAAGAAAUAAUACUUCUAUUAAAUAUAUUCGAUAAAUUUAAAUUAAACUCAACGAAAUAUUUAGACUAUUUAGAUUUUAAUCUUUAUUGAAAUAAAUUAGAAUUAAACGAUGAUAUUAUAAGAAAAAUUUAAUAGUAAAAUGAAUAAUAAUAGAACUGAAUUUAAUUUAGAAGCUUAUGUAAACAAAAAUUGAAAUGAACAUGUAGAUAUAUCUAAAUAUUGAUUGUUAGGUUUAAUAGAAGGUGAAGGUGAAGGUGAAGGUGAAGGUUCUUUUGAAGAAAUGAUUAAAGACCUAAUUUUGCUUUAUCUUUAACUGAAGCUCAAUAUUAUUUACUAUUGAGAAUUAAAGAUUUUAUAAUUGAAGAAUUAAAUUUAGAUGAAUAUUCUUUAUUUCAAUUAAAUAAUAGUUCUAAUAUUGUGAUUAAUUAUAAUAAAUCUAAACCAAGUUAUACAUUAUUAAUAACAAAUAAACUAAAUUUAAAGAAUUACUUCUUACCUUAUUUAGGAGCUUUAGAUGAUAUGUUUAUUUCUAAAAAAUAUAAUGACUUUAAAAAGUUAAAUCUAUUAACAUUAGCAGUAUAUAAUGGGUUUACAUUAAAAUAAUGAAAUGAAAGAGAUUAUUUAAAAUAUAAGUUAUACAAUGAAUAAUUAUAAUUUAUCUAACAGUAAAAUAAUACCGAUUAUAAUAUAUCUGGAGAUAUUAAGAUAUAACUAAAAACCCUAUAUUUAAAUGAUGGUAGAGUUAUUAAUUUAUUAACUAAUAAAAUGGUUCAUAAGAAUCAAUCAUGUAUCUAUAAGAUAACUAAAAUUUAUAAUGAUGAUUAUCUAUUAUUUUUAACUUUAAAAGAUGUAUCUAAAUAUUUAGAUAUAGAUCAUAGAAGAUUAAGUAGAUUAUUAAAUAAUGAAUUAUCAAGUAAUAAUAAGUUACCUAUUAUAAUAGGAAAUUAUAAUUUACAACGUAUAAAGAUCUAAAAUUAAUAUUUUAAAAUUAAAUGUCAAAUAAAAUUGACAGAUGAGUGUUAAUGAAUUACCAUUUACAUGGGUAAAUAUAAUUCAUACUAUUAAAUAUUAAUAGUGACAAGAAUACAAUCGAAUAACACUCAACCUUUAAUAAAGGAUAAUUUACAUAAGGCAAUAUGUAUUUUAUAUCGCUAUAAAUAAAUGGUGAAAACGGUUAAUGACAUCUUAGUUAAAGACCGUCGGCAGUUGUAUAUGUCGCUACAGACUGGUUCACCGAGGUUAGACUGAAAUGUCUGUCUAAAUGUACAGUCGAAUUCUGUAAUAUAUAUAUAUAUAUAUAUAGAGGUGAAAGAUAUAAAUCAAAUAAAUAAAGAUUUAAGCUUAUUAGUACAUAAGUAAUAAACCUUUAUGAGUCAAACUCAUUUAAGUUAAUCAGAAUUGGAAGAUGCCGUAUAUCCGUAGGUUGACAAAAAGACCCUAUGCAGCUUUACUAUAUCUUUAUUUUGAUUUAUAAACCUUUGUGGUUUUCCUUUUUUUAUUUAUUUCAGUAGAUUAGGUUAUAUUUAUAUAUUAAAUAAAAUGAGAUACCUAUAUAAAUGAAAAAAGAAUCUAAUUAAUAUAACUUAAGAAAGAGUAAAGAGGUUAGUUUCGAUGGGGCGUCGACAUCAGCGAAAGCAUCUGAUGUGUCUAAUAAUAAUGGUUUUUAAUAUAAAACAAGAUAUUUAAUUAAAUUAUUUAUUUAAUAGUAAAUUACGUACAAUAAUUCUAUAUGGUAAAUAGAAAAAGAUUAUAAGUAAGGAUAACAACAUAAUUGUGCGAUGAUAAUGACACAAACAAGUGAAAUUAGUACAUAAGUAGAGUGUAGUGAACAGGCAUAAACAAAUGGUAUGGAUGUCGAUAACGAAUUAAAGUUACGCUAGGGAUAAAAUGUUAGUUCCUUUAUAUAGAAAUAUAUAUAUAUCUCCGCGUUAGUGAGAUAACUUUCUUAUGAAAGUAUAUAAAUUGGGUGAAUUACAAAGAUAUCUUAUUAAUAAGACAAUUUGUAGCGAAAUAUAUAUGCCCAUCUAUGAUGGGGUAAGUUUUUUAUAGAUAUAUAAACGUUCAACGACUAGUGAUUGAGUAAACUAACAAUAAUAUUACCACGAGCGCCCAAUACCUAAUUAUAUUCCUAGAUAUAUUUAAUAUAAUAUAUAAAACCAAGAAUGAAAAAAGACUAAAUUAAUAUUACUUAUAAUAGAAAUUAAUUAAAGGCUUAUAAACAAUAAUUACCUAAUAUUUAAGAAUAUCAAAAAGAAGUAUUAGUAGGUAUAAUAUUAGGAGAUAGAUAUAUUUAUACAAGGAAUAAUGGAAAAACUUAUGGGUAAAAAUAGAAAGAAUAUAUAGAUUCAAUAUAUUAUAUAUUAUAUGAUUUUAUAUGAAAGAAUUAAUAUUAAUAAUGUUACAGUAAAAACAUGAAGAAUGGAAACAUUUAGUGGAAUUUAAUGAACUUGGUUUAUUGUUUAAACCAAAUAAAAAAAGAAUUAUAUAUUAAAGAUCUUAUAACACCUGUAAGUUUAGCUUAUUAUAAAAACGUUAUUUAACAGAUAUGGCUUGUAUAUUAAAUACACAAAGUUUUACUAUUAAAGAAGUAGAAGUAGAAUUAUUAAUUAGUGUUUUAAAUACUAAAUUUAAUUUUAAUACGUUUUUAGCUUAUAAUAAAUAUAAACCAAUUAUCUAUAUUCCUAGUAAAGAUUAUAAAAUCUUUUAUAAUUUAAUUAAUCCUCAUGUAAUAGAUAUGUUAAGAUAUAUAUAAAUUACCAAAAAUAAAAUUUAAAGAAUAUCUUAAUACAUAUAUUUAUGUAUAUAUUAUAUUAAAUCUUCCUCGGAAUAAAAUUAGGUAAAGACAUAGUCUGAACAAUUAGGUGACUAAUUGAAGUUGUAAAUUAAAAAACCAACGAUAACAAAAUUGAACAGGGUAAUACCGCGUGAGAGUUGAUAUCGUCAGCGGUGUUUGCCACCUCGAUGUCGUCUAGACUCGUCCUCCUUGUAGAAGCAACAAGGUAGGGUAGGACUGUUCGUCCUCUAAGGAGUUACUUGAGAUGGGUUAAUUACGACGUGAGUCAGUAAUGAUUUUAUCAUCUAUGGAUCUUAACUUAUCUGUUGCCUUAAGUGUACGCAAGGAUAAUAAGGUACUUUCCUAUGGUUAAAAAAAAAUUAGCUAAGAAUGUUGUGUUUACAUAUUGAAUGCAUAUCAAAUAUUAAAUCCUUCAGAUAAGAUAUUAAACAUUAUAGAUUAUAAUGUAUUAGUUAAUUUGUAUUAUUUGCAAAUAUACUAAUUAAAAAUAAAUUCAUAUACCU